rnacentral:rRNA from 1 species
GACAGAGGGUGCAAACGUUGUUCGGAAUUACUGGGCGUAAAGGGCUCGUAGGCUGCCAACUAAGUCAGACGUGAAAUCCCUCGGCUUAACCGGGGAACUGCGUCUGAUACUGGAUGGCUUGAGAUUGGGAGAGGGAUGCGGAAUUCCAGGUGUAGCGGUGAAAUGCGUAGAUAUCUGGAGGAACACCGGUGGCGAAGGCGGCAUCCUGGACCAACACUGACGCUGAUGAGCGAAAGCCAGGGGAGCAAACGGG